rnacentral:tRNA from 1 species
CGGGAAGUAGCGCAGAUGGCUAGCGCGUCUGCUUUGGGAGCAGAAGGUCCAGGGUUCAAAUCCCUGCUUCCCGA